rnacentral:rRNA from 1 species
UACGUAGGGUGCAAGCGUUGUCCGGAAUUAUUGGGCGUAAAGAGCUCGUAGGCGGUCUGUCGCGUCGGAUGUGAAAAUCCAGGGCUCAACCCUGGACCUGCAUUCGAUACGGGCAGACUAGAGUUCGGUAGGGGUCUGCGGAACUUCUGGUGGAGCGGUGAAAUGCGUUGAUAUCAGAAGGAACGCCGGUGGCGAAAGCGGCGGACUGGACCUCUUCUGACGCUGAGGCGCGAAAGCUAGGGGAGCAAACGGG